rnacentral:rRNA from 1 species
CAGUCGCCGCGGGAAUACGUAGGGUGCAAGCGUUAAUCGGAAUUACUGGGCGUAAAGCGUGCGCAGGCGGUUUCGUAAGACAGAGGUGAAAUCCCCGGGCUCAACCUGGGGACUGCCUUUGUGACUGCAAGGCUGGAGUGCGGCAGAGGGGGAUGGAAUUCCGCGUGUAGCAGUGAAAUGCGUAGAUAUGCGGAGGAGCACCGAUGGCGAAGGCAAUCCCCUGGGCCUGCACUGACGCUCAUGCACGAAAGUGUGGGGAGCAAACAGGAUUAGAUACCCCAGUAGUCCCUGUCUCUUAUAA